CGGUUCUCACUUCCCUACACAACCGCCGAACAUUAAUAAAAUUCUUGCCGCCGCCCAUAGUGGCACCGGUGUUGACUUGUGGUACAGAUAUUAUAUUUGAAUUUGCAUCAUAGACUCAUGCACGAUAGAGUCGAGUCGGUUAUCCAACUUUUGGAUAAGGUUGCCAUGUAAUAUGCAGACUCAUUAUGCUAGCUGAGGCGUAAAUCAACACUGAACUUAUCGCAUCUAUUCAGAAUGCCACGUUGGCCUAAUUGCACUUACCACACGUAUAUAAAGCCGAGUAUACAUACGGGAUGCUCCAUCGUAACUUGCUCUUGCUCCGGGGAACCAGAAUGACCUCAUUUUCGACAUUUUCCAUAAUCCUGGCUGCAUUUUGCAGCGUUCAAAGUCAAAACUAUCGCCAGGUGUUGGAAAAGUCGCUGCUCUUUUAUGAAGGACAGCGGAGUGGAAGACUUCCCGCAAAUAAUCUCCCCUUGGAGGGGAGAUUCCAUGUUGGAGGAUGGCGAUGGUGACGUAGAUUUGACUGGGGGAUAUUUCGACGCUGGAGACCACGUAAAGUUCAAUUUCCCCCAGGCCUGGGCCCUCUCGACGAUUGCGAUGCGCGAAAACAAAAUCCCGCACGGAUGCCAAGACAUUAACAACCUUUUUAACUAACCCAGAUCCGUACACGUCAAUUA